rnacentral:rRNA from 1 species
GAUGAACGCUGGCGGCGUGCUUAACACAUGCAAGUCGAACGGAAAGGCCCUGCUUGCAGGGUACUCGAGUGGCGAACGGGUGAGUAACACGUGGGUGAUCUGCCCUGUACUUUGGGAUAAGCCUGGGAAACUGGGUCUAAUACCGAAUAUGACAAUUGUUUGGAUGCGAUUGUGGAAAGCUUUUGCGGUAUGGGAUGAGCUCGCGGCCUAUCAGCUUGUUGGUGGGGUAAUGGCCUACCAAGGCGUCGACGGGUAGCCGGCCUGAGAGGGUGUACGGCCACAUUGGGACUGAGAUACGGCCCAGACUCCUACGGGAGGCAGCAGUGGGGAAUAUUGCACAAUGAGCGCAAGCCUGAUGCAGCGACGCCGCGUGGGGGAUGACGGCCUUCGGGUUGUAAACUCCUUUCGCAACCGACGAAGCCUUUUGGUGACGGUAGGUUGAGAAGAAGCACCGGCUAACUACGUG